rnacentral:lncRNA from 1 species
CUCAAUUUAUCAUCAUCUUCAACCGAUUAUUAUUUUUUUAUGAAAUUUGAUUUGAUCAUAUUAUCAUAUUUUCUUCAAUACAAAAUAUUUCUUAAUAAUUUUUUCAUCCAUCAAAAUCAUCUAUUGUCUUCCACCAAUCAAGAACCACAACAAAUUCAUAACAAAUCAAGAAUUUAUCAUUGUUCUUCAUAAACUCCCAGAAUAAAAACUAUGAUCCAUCUUUCUUUCACGCAUUUUGAAAGAAGUAAAAAACAAAAAAUAGAAAAAUCUCUCUUCC